rnacentral:rRNA from 1 species
ACCUGUAUGGGGAGGAGUUCGGAUUGGGGGAAAUUGCCUUUAUAAAUAUGAAGAACAAAAGUAUACACUAUAUUAAAUUUAUAUUAAAAAUAUUUAUUAAAUAUUUUUCUAAUUAUUUUUAAUUAAGUGUAGUUAUUCUUAUUUGUUACUUAUGUAACUUUAUAUAGUGAUUUAACUCUUUUGUUGAGAUUUAUUAAUAUCGAUUAACCCUUCUGAGUAACAUCUCA